GUCCACAGCAAUACCACCCUGAGUAUGCCCGAUCUCGUCUGAUCUCAGAUCAGGUCUGGUUAGUACUUGGACGGGAGGGAUGGGAGAAAAUAUACCCUGCAGCCC
rnacentral:rRNA from 1 species